rnacentral:lncRNA from 10 species
GUUGACUGCAAGAUGAGGCAAAGGCAAAUAGGUGGAAUAACUGGAGAAUAACCCAGAAUGAGACACAGAAAGAGGAUUUUGAAAGGAUUUCCUUGCCUAUUAUCUGCUUUCUGAGAGAGCCACACAAAACAGGGGAAAAAACUGGAGAAUAAUGGUUGUGUCAUCAUGACAAACAACUGACAUAGUUGAGGCCAGUCGAAGGCCCAGAGCAACCCUGGUCCUGUAGUCAGAGACGACUUAUGAAAAUAAAUGAAUCUGGCUCAUUGACUUGAGUUCUUGUACCCAAACUGGAAAGGUGUGGUACCUGACACAGGAACAAAGUCUGUCUGAAAUCAGCUGUCCGGGAUGUCAUUUUCUCUAGUGCAGAGACUCGAUUGCCUAAAUUGGUAGCAGAGGUGGAUGUUUCCUAACAUGAUCUUCCUUGGCCAACAGUGACUGACAUCUGAGGCCUGACACAAGCAACUGCUUCUCUGUCACAUUGAUUUUUCUGUCCUUGCAGAUUCAGAGCCAGGGUUGAGUCCUCCUCACAGGGCGAGUUCUCUGACAAGGAAGUUUUGCAACCUAAUUUACAGCUGGAGCCAAGCUUGUCAGUGAGUGCCAGAGGGAAACUGUCGCAAUCGGCAGGCAAAGUAUGCAUUUAAUAGUAUUUAUCCAAGCCAGUUUGUGAUUUCUUCACUCUCUCCAACAAAUAUGUUAUUUGUAAUAGCUAUCUUCUCUCAUCUAGGUGUUUGAAAAAUGUCUCUAACGUGUGUGGGCUGGAAUGCAUUUUGUUUUUUCUGCAGGUAUAUUCAUUUAACAAGGGGAGUCUCUGAGGAGCUAUCAAAAACUGCUUGCCAUCUUUCCAAAUCAUCUCUGUCUGCAGUGACCAUGUCUUAAUCCUGAAGGAAAACAAGGUAAUCUUUUCAAAUAAACAUUUUCAAGGAUGUUUAGAGGGAACCAAAUUGCUGGCAUGUAGAACCCCCUUCCAGUGCUUAAAAAUAGAUAUAUUGAGGGAGCAAAACUCCAGUGAGUUGGAGUGUUUGGAAGUAUUUGAUAUGUUCAGAUGACUAACAAUAAUAAGCUAAAUUGCAAGCAAUGAUCUGAAUUUGUGUGUGUGAAUAUGAGUGUGUAUGUGUCAAAGAGACACUGAGUAUCCUGUUUCUCAAUGUUGUUGGUGGAAAAUGAGGCGCAGAGGGGUUACACACUCCCAGUAGGUAAGCAAGUUGGUAAGGGACUUUGGCAAUAUUUGACCCUAAGCCCAUUAGAUUUCACUGGGCUAACCUGACUCUGGGGAGAGUAAAUAUGAGAUGAAGAAACAUUUGAUCAUUAAAUUUUUGGCAGUUGGGCCUGAAGCCCCAGAACUUAUGCUGGUCCUGGCACCAAUGAGGACAGAAAUGAUUGAGCACAUGAAUUUGGAUCUCAUAUUUUAUGAACAAAUGUGGCAGUGAAUAUGUACUAUAUAUUAGUUAAUGUUAACAUACCUUAGUUUUAAGAUCCGUAGAAGACUCCAUUUGACCUUUACAAUGUGGAUGUUUUUCCUUACCACAGGUGGAAAUUGAUUUUUACUUCUCUGCAGCUAAGUAUGUGGCAGUCUUGGCCACAUGGUGACUCAGCAGAGGAGCCUAUGUACUGGCUGUCCUGAUGCUCUUCCUGAUUCAACUGAUUCUCUACACUUGAUCUUAGCCAAAAGGCCGAGAAGCAAUGAUUCAACUGAUUCUCAAAAGGACACCGCUGCAGGAAUAAACCCACUUCUAAAUAUGGUACACUUGGAAAGUUGUCCAGCUCGCAAUGUCAGAGUCACAGACUUCAUGCACACUCAUCUCAAGUCAAUGUUAUCUAACACAUUUCCACUAAUUAUUGGAUGACACUAGCAAGAAACUCUGAUAUUUUUCACCUAACCUUUGCUAAUUUAAAUGUGGCCAGCCCACCCUCAUACUGCAUUGUGAUGGGGAUAUAAAAGCCAAUGAAAGAUAUCAUUAAUUGUUAACAAUAGUCAUCACUGACAACUUCCUGUUGAAUGUCACUGUUACUCCUGCUACUGCUACUACCACUACCAUUUAUGAAGCUGCCAUUAUUACUAACUCAAAGCUUUCACAGAUACAGAAACAGGUGUAUUUUUUGUUUUGUUUUGUUUUUUGUUUUUGUUUGAGAGAGAGUCUUACUCUGUCGGCCAGGCUGGAGUGCAGUGGCACAAUCUCGGUUCACUGCAACGUCCGCCUCCCGGGUUCAAGCAAUUCUUGUGCCUCAGCC